rnacentral:lncRNA from 1 species
GGGACUUGUAAUAGUAGGGUGGUGGUGGAGAGUGGACUGGUGGUGGUGGAGAUUUGUAGUAGUAGGGAGGAGGUGGAGAUGGUGAUGGGGGAGGUGGAGAUUUGUAGUAGUAUGGUGGUGGUGGUGAUGGAGAUGGAGGUGGUGGAGAUUUGUAGUAGUAAGGAGGAGGAGGAGAUGGCGAUGGGGGAGGAGGAGACUUGUAGUAAUAUGGUGGUGGUGGUGAUGGAGAUGGAGGAGGUGGAGAUUUGUAGUAGUAUGGUGGUGGUGGUGAUGGUGAUGGUGGUGGUGGAGAUUUGUAGUAGUAUGGUGGUGGUGGAGAGUAGGCUGGUGGUGGUGGAGAUUUGUAGUAGUAUGGUGGUGGUGGAGAGUGGACUGGUGGUGGUGGGGACUUGUAGUAGUAAGGAGGAGGCGGAGAUGAAGACGGGGGAGGAGGGGAUUUGUAGUAGUAUGGAGGUGGUGGUGAUGGAGAUGGAGGUGGUGGGGAUUUGUAGUAGUAAGGAGGAGGAGGAGAUGGUGAUGGUGGAGGCGGGGAGUUGUAGUGGUAGGUUGGUGCUGGGGCCUUCACUGGAGGUGGUGGUGAUUUGUAGUAGUAUGGUGGGGGUGGAGAGUGGACUGGUGGUGGUGGAGACUUGUAGUAAUAUGGUGGGGGUGGAGAGUGGACUGGUGGGGGUGGAGAUUUGUAGUAGUAUGGUGGUGGUGGUGGUGACUUAUAAACAUAGGUAGGGCUUGGUGGUGGCGGGGACUUGUAAUAGUAUGGUGGAGGAGGUGGUGACUUGUAAGCAUAAGUAGGCGAUGGUGGUGGUGGAGAGGUGUAAUAGUAAGGAGAUGGAGUAGGCUUUGGCUUUGGCUUCUCACACUCCUUGUAAGGGGUCUUUGGAGCAUAGGCAAAUGGCUCAGCCUUAAGCACAACCUCAUACUUGUCCUUGGACUUCACGGUGAGCAUGGCACCCUUGUUGCCCCCAUGUAGACCGGUAGCAAUGUUGCAAGAUGAACCCUUGGGUGGGGCAUGGAGCUUGGCCUUGCAUGCCUCAGCUCCAUAUUUGGCAUAGUUAAAUCCUUCAACUGUGAUGCUAAAUUUUCCAUUGAUUUUGGUUUUUCCGUAAGCUGUGAUCUCCUUUUCUCCAACCUUGCAAGUCACUUCCACAACAGCAUCUGCUCCAUGUGAAAUAAUCAAAGUCAAUCACCAUAUUUAGCAUCAAUUUGUUGCGAAAUGUCAACCAAAUUCUGUACCAUGUAUAUACUAUAUUUUUCUUAUGUACCGAAAAAGCAAGCAUAUUUAGCUUUUCAUGUGUCUAUAUGCUGCCAAAUGGGAUGACAGAAACGGUAAAUCAACCAAGUUUUAUUAUUUUAAUAGGAAAAUUUUGAUCUGAUUAUAAGAUUUCUAUUCAAAAUUCUUCACUAAUUAAUUAGUUAAUCUAACAGGCAGGCUUGUCAUUGCUUAAUUAGAUACAGUUACAAAAGAAAUAAAUAGACAAGGACUUUGUUUUCUUGCUUAACCUGUUUGUUUUUUUCUCUUUUAAUUUAAUUUAUUUCGGUAAAUAUAUAUACAUAUUGAUUCCUUAAAAUUAUUACAAUAUUUACAUGGUUUAAAUUAAAAUAUUAAAUAUAUAAAAUUUUAACUUCUAGAGCACAUGAUAUAUGACAGGGUUCCGCGAAAAUCUUAACGUAAAUUUAAAAGAAAAACAAAAGAAAGCUAAUUUACAUGCAAAUGUAAAAUAAUAUAUAUAUUAACAGAUGAAUCAAAGUUGGACAUUUAAAAAUUGGAAAUGUAUGAGAAAAUUGUACCUUUGAGAUGUUUCUUGUUGUGCGAUUUUGCUGGAUAGCUCCAGUCAUAGCACCUGUAGCAGUAAACUUUACCAACGACCUUGACUAUGAAUGGGUGGGGGUGGGGGUGAGGGGCGGGAUGAUAUGGAGUUGGAGGAGGUGGUGAUUUGUAGUAGUAUGGUGGAGAGACGUAAUGCGGAGGAGGUGGCGGAGACGUAUAGUAGUAAGGUGGUGGAGGAGAUGGUGAAGGUGGUGGUGGAGACUUGUAGUAGUAAGGAGGUGGUGGAGAUGGUGAUGGUGGUGGGGGAGACUUAUAGUAGUAAGGUGGUGGUGGAGAUGGUGAGGGUGGUGGUGGAGAUUUGUAGUAGUAAGGAGGUGGUGGAGAUGGUGAUGGUGGUGGUGGAGACUUAUAAUAGUAAGGUGGGGGUGGUGAAGGAGAAGUGGGGGGGGAGACUUGUAGUAGUAAGGUGGUGGUGGGGAAGGAGAUGGAGGUGGCGGGGAUUUGUAGUAGUAAGGAGGAGGUGGUGAUGGGGACGGUGGUGGUGGAGAUUUGUAGUAAUAUGGAGGAGGUGGAGAUGGAGAUGGAGGAGGUGGGGACUUGUAGUAGUAUGGAGGAGGUGGGGAAGGAGAUGGAGGUGGUGGGGAUUUGUAGUAAUAAGGAGGAGGUGGUGACGGGGACGGAGGUGGUGGAGACUUAUAGUAAUAUGGAGGAGGUAGGGAUGGGGAUGGAGGUGGUGGAGACUUGUAGUAGUACGGGGGAGGUGGUGAUGGGGAUGGUGGCGGUGGAGACUUGUAGUAGUAUGGAGGAGGUGGUGACGGGGAUGGUGGUGGAGGAGACUUAUAAUAGUAUGGAGGAGGAGGUGAUGGAGACGGUGGUGGUGGAGAUUUAUAGUGGUAUGGAGGGUUCACUUCAUGUUUCGGUGGAGGUGGUG